rnacentral:rRNA from 1 species
AAGCAGGAAGAGGUGGGUGUACUUUCGUACCGAUUGACCUCGGAUCAGGUAGGGAUACCCGCUGAACUUAAGCAUAUCAAUAAGCGGAGGAAAAGAAACCAACCGGGAUUGCCUCAGUAACGGCGAGUGAAGCGGCAACAGCUCAAAUUUAAAAUCCGGCCCUGACGGGGUCUGAGUUGUAAUUUGCAGAGGGUGUUUCGGGGGCGGCGCCGGCCUAAGUUUCUUGGAACAGGACGUCGUAGAGGGUGAGAAUCCCGUCUGGGCGUCGGUGGCCAACCCCUGGUGAACCCCCUUCGACGAGUCGAGUUGUUUGGGAAUGCAGCUCUAAAUGGGUGGUAAAUUUCAUCUAAAGCUAAAUACCGGCCAGAGACCGAUAGCGCACAAGUAGAGUGAUCGAAAGAUGAAAAGCACUUUGAAAAGAGAGUUAAACAGUACGUGAAAUUGUUGAAAGGGAAGCGCUUGCGACCAGACCUGUCGCCGGUGCGAUUAUCCGUUAUUCGUUAACGGUGUUAUUCGCCCGGUCGCAGGCCAGCAUCGGUUCGGGUGGCGGGACAAAGCGCCCGGGAACGUAGCUUCCCCCGGGGAGCCUUAUAGCCCGGGUGGCCAUACCGCCCGCCUGGACCGAGGACCGCGCUUCGGCUAGGAUGCUGGCGUAAUGGUCGUCAGCGACCCGUCUUGAAACACGGACCAAGGAGUCUACCAUCCAUGCGAGUGUUUGGGCGUUAAACCCAGACGCGCAAUGAAAGUGAACGGAGGUGAGAUCCCCCGGGCGCGUUCCCGGAGGCGCAUCAUCGACCGAUCCAGAUGUCUUCGGAUGGAUUUGAGUACGAGCAUGGCCGGUGGGACCCGAAAGAUGAUGAACUAUGCCUGAAUAGGGUGAAGCCAGAGGAAACUCUGGUGGAGGCUCGCAGCGGUUCUGACGUGCAAAUCGAUCGUCGAAUUUGGGUAUAGGGGCGAAAGACCAAUCGAAUCAUCUAGUAGCUGGUUCACGUC